UCUUUUAAAAAUAACAUCUUAUUAAUGAUACUAAAACUUUUUUUUGUUCUCACUAAUACUAACACUAAACUAAUUGUUGUUGAUCAAUUGUGUUCAACUUUUUGUGACCCCAGUUGGGAUUUUCUUGGCAAAAAACACUGGAGUAGUUUGUCAUUUUCUCCUUCAGCUAAUUUUACAGAUAAGGAAAUAAGCAAACAGGGUGAAAUGACUUGCCCAGAGUCACAUACCCAGCAAGAGUCCGAGAUAGAGUUUGAAUUCAGGUCUUCCAGACUCCAAGGCCAGCACUCUACCCUCUAUGCUGCUUCGCUGCCCUAAUGAGUAAAGGGCAUGAUAAAGGAGGACAAGUUCUGAUUGUGUCAUCUUUUUCUGACAACCAGUGAAGAUGCUUUCAAUAACUGGUACUCAGCUGGGAGUUGUUCCUCCUUCUACCCCUGACCCUCCCUCCUCUCUGUGGAUUCCUAGUUGAGCAAAGUCUGAUUUAUUACCUGAAUUUGCUGUCAUAGCACAGGAAGCAAAAUGCAUUUAGAGGAAGAGGUAAAACCAGGAAGUCCCAUGUUGCUACUGUGCCUCUAAUCAGCUGUUAAACUCCAUUAUGUUGUAACAAGAGAUGGUAUGUAUGAAUGAAAAGCUUUAGAAAACUGUCUUCCAUCAGACUUUAUUUACUGACAGAUCCCAUAAAAAUAGCAACCUUCUCUCAGGACACUGAGACCGGAGGGUGUUUUUCCAUCCUGAGAAAAGUGUAGGCUCAGAGCAUUACUCAUCAGGAUAUAGAAAAAGUCAGGCAGUAGAGUAUUUGAUAAUUCUUCCUGGAACUAAUGGGCUAGUAUUGGUGUACAAGCUCGGAAUCUGUUAACUCUUUGCUUUCCAAGGGUGGUUUUGGCAUCAGUCUUCAUAUGGAAUACCACUGGGUUCCAACUCCCUGUCAAGUCUGUAAAACAAACAAAAAUAAAAAGCUUUCUGGCCCUUUUC